rnacentral:ncRNA from 2 species
CGCAAGUUUCAGGGAAGGUGCAAUUCCUUACUGGCGGUAACGGCGCAACCGGGGUUCAUAACGGUGGCCGCCGGAGCCCGCGACCCGCGAAUGCGGCUGAUCCGGUGCGAUUCCGGAGCCAACGGUUACAGUCCGGAUGGAAGAAACGAGGU